rnacentral:tRNA from 1 species
AGGGGCGUAGUUCAAUUGGUAGAGCACCGGUCUCCAAAACCGGGUGUUGGGAGUUCGAUCCUCUCCGCCCCUGCCAUGU